rnacentral:rRNA from 1 species
UCCUACGGGGGGCAGCAGUGGGGAAUAUUGCACAAUGGGGGAAACCCUGAUGCAGCAACGCCGCGUGAGUGAAGAAGUAUUUCGAUAUGUAAAGCUCUAUCAGCAGGGAAGAAGAUGACGGUACCUGAUUAAGAAGCCCCGGCUAACUACGUGCCAGCAGCCGCGGUAAUACGUAGGGGGCAAGCGUUAUCCGGAUUUACUGGGUGUAAAGGGAGCGUAGACGGCAUAGCGAGUCUGAAGUGAAAGCCCAAGGCUCA